rnacentral:rRNA from 1 species
CACGUAGGGUGCGAGCGUUGUCCGGAAUUAUUGGGCGUAAAGAGCUCGUAGGCGGUGUGUCGCGUCGGCCGUGAAAACCUACAGCUUAACUGUGGGCGUGCGGUCGAUACGGGCAUCACUAGAGUUCGGCAGGGGAGACUGGAAUUCCUGGUGUAGCGGUGAAAUGCGCAGAUAUCAGGAGGAACACCGGUGGCGAAGGCGGAUCUCUGGGCCAGUACUGACACUGAGGAGCGAAAGCGUGGGGAGCAAACAGG